rnacentral:rRNA from 1 species
CCUACGGGAGGCAGCAGUAGGGAAUCUUCCACAAUGGGCGAAAGCCUGAUGGAGCAACGCCGCGUGGGUGAAGAAGGUCUUCGGAUCGUAAAACCCUGUUGUUAGAGAAGAAAGUGCGUGAGAGUAACUGUUCACGUUUCGACGGUAUCUAACCAGAAAGCCACGGCUAACUACGUGCCAGCAGCCGCGGUAAUACGGAGGGGGCAAGCGUUAUCCGGAUGUAGUGGGCGUAAGGGAACGCAGGCGGGCUUUUAAGUCGGAAGUGAAAGGCUUUGGACUUACCGGAGUAGGGCAUUGGAAACUGGGGGACUUGAGUGCAGAAGAGGUGAGUGGAACGCCAUGUGUAGCGGUGAAAUGCGUAGAUAUAUGGAAGAACACCAGUGGCGAAAGCGGCUCUCUGGUCUGUAACUGACGCUGAGGUUCGAAAGCGUGGGUAGCAAACAGGAUUAGAUACCCGAGUAGUC